rnacentral:lncRNA from 1 species
AGAGAUGGGUUUCUGGACUCGCGAAGCAGCUGCAACAAGGCAUCACUCACUGUAUAAGUAUUUCCAUUUCUGAGAGCAAAAGGAAGAACUUAAGCGGGCGGCACUUGGAGUGUAAAUUGCUUUGUAGUAUUUAAAGGCAGAAUGGAUCCUGGGCAGCCGAGCUGCAACAAACCGGCAGGACUUCCUGUGAAAUCAUGACCACCAUGUGCUCUUUCAGCCUCUAUCAGUUCCUACCUCUAAGCACCUGAGAGCCAAAGCAAACCACAGGAAACCACAGGUACUAACUCUUUUAGACCUGAUGAAGUGUCUCCCAAAUACAGUCUGGCAUGACUCAAACUAAACGUCAGCUUUUCCCGGCUCUCAAGCCUGCUGGUCCCUGAACUAAAACUCACAUUAUCAACUCUACUGGUUCUUAGGCCUUUGGAGUCAGACUGGAACUACAGCAUUGACUCUUCCGGAACUCCAGCUUACUGACUACAGAUCUUGGAACUUUUCAGCUUCCACAACCAUAAUGAAAGCCAAGCAUAUUCCAUCAUUUCCUAAAACCAAGAUAGAGCACAUAUGGGAACUUGUGAAAUAAGGAUGCCCUGCGGUUGUUUUCAGGACUGAAGACAACAGCUCCACGAUGUAUCUUUGCAUAAGAAUACACUUGAAACCAAAGCACAAAGAGAGAAAGAAAAGAAAGAGAAAAAAGGAAGAAAGAAAAGAAAGAUGAAAGAAAGAAAGAGAAAGAAGAGAGAGGGAGAGAGAGAAAGAAAGAGAAGGAAAGAAAGAAGGAAGAAGAAAGAAAGAAAGAAAGAAAGAAAGAAAGAAAGAAAGAAAGAAAGAAAGAAAGAAAGAAAGAAAGAAAGAAAAAAGGAAGGAAGGAAAAGAAACACAUGGAAAGUGCUUCUUUGGACCUUUUAAGUUGCAUUAUCCCAUAAAAUGUGGUGGAUUCAAUGUUGUAUGGCCUGUAAAACUAAGUAAUGAAGGCUGAUAUGUACCCACCUGGCUCUGUCUUGGGAUCACACAACUUGGGAGCCAAAACAGGUGAGGAUGGGGAGGUGUCAAACAAGACCUAACCUCUCAACAAUCAGCUGGACACUGUUGUGUAAGAAUGUGAAGCUUGGCACUGCUGCAGCCAUCUUGUUCCAGGAAGGGUAAAACCUGAGGUUAGAAGCCAACAUCCUAAUGAUGGCAGAGAAGACAAAGAGAACCAGAGUCUAAAUGACAUUGUUGAGUUAGAUCACUACACUACCUCUAGUCUUCUUUUUAUGUGUGAUAAUAAAUCUCACUUAUACUUAAGCCAUUUGAAGUUGAGUCUAAUGUUCAUUUCAGACCAAAGCAGCUUAACUGACAUGUUCUCCGCUUUGUUACCCUAUCCAGUUGUUUUCAUGCAGGAAAUAAAUCUCAAAUUACCUCAUUUA